rnacentral:sRNA from 1 species
GUUGGGUACAACAGCACAUGCCUAUAGUCUCAGCUACAUGGGGGACUGAGGCAGGAGGAUCACUUGAGCCCAAGAGCUCAAGGCCAGCCUAAACAACAUAGUCAGACCCUGUCUCUA